UUCAAAAUGGCGGCUUACAUGUUGUUUUWCCGCAAAAUGUUUUGGGUUUGGUUUUCUGGGUGUCCUUUGACAGUAAGAAUAGAAUCAUAGUAUCAUGGACGAGCAAGACACAUUUCAAGAUGGAGGUGGCUGUGAAGAAGGCAUGUCCAAUGAAUGUAUUGAAGAUCAUUGCGAGAGUAAACAACAGAAUACUGUAAAUGCAUGUAACGGCGAUAAUGACAUCAAAAAAAAAAGACUUUCCAGAAGGAAG